GAUGAACGCUGGCGGCGUGCCUAAUACAUGCAAGUCGAGCGAACAGACGAGGAGCUUGCUCCUCUGACGUUAGCGGCGGAAGGGUGAGUAACACGUGGAUAACCUACCUAUAAGACUGGGAUAACAUCGGGAAACCGGAGCUCAUACCGGAUAAUAUAUUGAACCGCAUGGUUCAAUAGUGAAAGACGGUUUUGCUGUCACUUAUAGAUGGAUCCGCGCCGCAUUAGCUACUUGGUAAGGUAACGGCUUACCAAGGCAACGAUGCGUAGCCGACCUGAGAGGGGGGUCGGCCACGCUGGAACUGAGACGCGGUCCAGACUCCUACGGGAGGCAGCGGUGGGGAGUCUUCCGCAAUGGGCGAAAGCUUGACGGAGCAACGCCGCGUGAGUGAUGAAGGGCUGCGGAUCGUAAAACUCUGUUAUUAGGGAAGAAAAAAUGUGUAAGUAACUAUGCACGUCUUGACGGUACCUAAACAGAAAGCCACGGCUAACUACGUG
rnacentral:rRNA from 1 species